GGGCGGUUAGCUCAGCGGUAGAGCGCCUGCCUUACAAGCAGGAUGUCACUGGUUCGAAUCCAGUACUGCCCA
rnacentral:tRNA from 2 species